CAUGCCUGUUUGAGCGUCAUUUCUCUCUCAAACCCCCGGGUUUGGUAUUGAGUGAUACUCUUAGUCGAACUAGGCGUUUGCUUGAAAAGUAUUGGCAUGGGUAGUACUGGAUAGUGCUGUCGACCUCUCAAUGUAUUAGGUUUAUCCAACUCGUUGAAUGGUGUGGCGGGAUAUUUCUGGUAUUGUUGGCCCGGCCUUACAACAACCAAACAAGUUUGACCUCAAAUCAGGUAGGAAUACCCGCUGAACUUAAGCAUAUCAAUAAGCGGAGGAAAAGAAACCAACAGGGAUUGCCUUAGUAGCGGCGAGUGAAGCGGCAAAAGCUCAAAUUUGAAAUCUGGCACCUUCGGUGUCCGAGUUGUAAUUUGAAGAUUGUAACCUUGGGGUUGGCUCUUGUCUAUGUUUCUUGGAACAGGACGUCACAGAGGGUGAGAAUCCCGUGCGAUGAGAUGCCCAAUCCUAUGUAAGGUGCUUUCGAAGAGUCGAGUUGUUUGGGAAUGCAGCUCUAAGUGGGUGGUAAAUUCCAUCUAAAGCUAAAUAUUGGCGAGAGACCGAUAGCGAACAAGUACAGUGAUGGAAAGAUGAAAAGAACUUUGAAAAGAGAGUGAAAAAGUACGUGAAAUUGUUGAAAGGGAAGGGUUUGAGAUCAGACUCGAUAUUUUGUGAGCCUUGCCUUCGUGGCGGGGUGACCCGCAGCUUAUCGGGCCAGCAUCGGUUUGGGCGGUAGGAUAAUGGCGUAGGAAUGUGACUUUGCUUCGGUGAAGUGUUAUAGCCUGCGUUGAUGCUGCCUGCCUAGACCGAGGA
rnacentral:rRNA from 1 species